GGCCGCUCCGCCCUCACCUGAGCCGGAGGUUGGUCAUGAACUCGGGCAUGGAGACGGUGUCCAUCAGCACGAAGUCCGCCUUCCCGAACUCCAGGCUCUCCUGCUCCGCCAUGGCGCCGGCGCACGGGCUCAGUCCUGUGUUUCUAUUAGGACCAUCUUCUAUUUCAAAACCUACCAGGAAAUCUAGAAGCCCCCAAAGACCUGGCUGGACUUCUACACUAUGGCUGACUGUGAGAUGUGUAAGCCAGACCUAAGGACCUUGCUCACGUUUGCUUCAGCUUCCAACAACCCACCCUGGCCAAGAGAAAGGGUAAGACAGCUUGAUCACCUCCUGCAUGAGCACGUCUGCCAUGAGAAAGCCACCCCAAUCUCUGUCACAGGCAGAGAUGAGUUGUAGUCUGACUACCAUUAGCAGCUCUCGUUCUUCAGAAGACACCUCUCUGAAUCUCAGCAUCCUUGUUCGUGGAAUAAGACCUCUGGUUUAGAUACUUUCCAAGACCCACCCAGACUUCAGUGGGUGCUCCUGGAUCUUGGAUGCACUGGGAGCUCUGGAGGAUUGGUGGCUGGAACGGGUUAGCCUGGAGGCGGUUAGACUGUCCCUCUACAACCACAGAAGAACCGUCACCAGCAGAGAGAUCCUUGAGGCAGUCAAGCAGAGAUACUCUCAGAAGAGCUUGGGAAUAAAUGAAGUGAAUCUGGAUGGCCCUGUUGUUGAAAUGAUUACACUUGUCAAACAAAGUUGGAUCCGCUGGAGGACUGAGCUGGAAGAUGAAGUAUCUGAGAAGAACCCGCUGCAGUGGUGGUCUCGGUGUGACACACCUGGUCUCUGGGUCUUGCAUUUUUAGCCUCUGACUUAAUUUGUGAAAAUAGAUAAAUAAAUAAAGGAAAGGCACUUUC